CCUACGGGAGGCUGCAGUGAGGAAUAUUGGUCAAUGGGCGCGAGCCUGAACCAGCCAAGUAGCGUGAAGGAUGACUGCCCUACGGGUUGUAAACUCCUUUUAUAAAGGAAUAAAGUGAGGCACGCGUGCCAUUUUGUAUGUACUUUAUGAAUAAGGACCGGCUAACUCCGUGCUAGCAGCCGCGGUAAUACGGAGGAUCCGAGCGUUAUCCGGAUUUAUUGGGGUUAAAGGGAGCGUAGAUGGGUUGUUAAGUCAGUUGUGAAAGUUUGCGGCUCAACCGUAAGAUUGCAAUUGAUACUGGCAGCCUUGAGUACAGGUGGGGUAGGCGGAAUUCGUGGUGUAGCGGUGAAAUGCUUAGAUAUCACGAAGAACACCGAUUGCGAAGGCGGCCUGCUAGACUGCCACUGACGUUGAUGCUCGAAAGUGUGGGUAGCAAACAGGAUUAGAUACCCCUGUAGUC
rnacentral:rRNA from 1 species